rnacentral:rRNA from 1 species
CCUACGGGUGGCAGCAGUAGGGAAUAUUGCUCAAUGGUCGAGAGCCUGAACCAGCCAAGCCGCGUGAAGGAUGAAGGUUCUCGGAUUGUUAACCCUCUUUGUUAGAGAAACUAAUGACGGUAUGUAACGCAUAAGCACCGGCUAACUCCGUGCUAGCAGCCGCGGUAAUACGGAGGGUGCAAGCGUUACUCGGAAUCACUGGGCGUAAGGGGGGCGUAGGCGGGAUAGCAAGUCAGAUGUGAAAUCCUAGGGCUUAACCAUAGAACUGCAGUUGAAACUGGUAUUCUAGAGUAUGGGAGAGGUAGGUGGAAUGCGUGGUGUAGGGGUAAAAUCCGUAGAUAUCAAGAAGAAUACUCAUUGCGAAGGCGACCUGCUAGAACAUAACUGACGCUGAUGCGCGAAAGCGUGGGGAGCAAACAGGAUUAGAUACCCCAGUAGUC